AUACGUAGGUGACAAGCGUUAUCCGGAUUUACUGGGCGUAAAGGGCGUGUAGGCGGUCUUGCAAGUCAGAAGUGAAAUUCCUGAGCUCAACUCGGGCGCUGCUUCUGAAACUGCAGGACUUGAGUGCUGGAGGGGAUAGCGGAAUUCCUAGUGGAGCGGUAAAAUGCGCAGAUAUUAGGAAGAACACCGGUGGCGAAGGCGGCUAUCUGAACAGUAACUGACGCUGAGGCGCGAAAGCGGGGGGAGCAAACAGGAUUAGAUACCCGGGUAGUCCACGCUGUAAACGAUGAAUACUAGGUGUAGGGGGUAUCGACUCCCUCUGUGCCGCAGUUAACACAAUAAGUAGUCCGCCUGGGGAGUACGGCCGCAAGGUUGAAACUCAAAUGAAUUGACGGGG
rnacentral:rRNA from 1 species